GCUGUCCUUAGUACGAGAGGACCGGGAUGGACGCACCGCUGGUGUACCAGUUGUCUUGCCAAAGGCAUCGCUGGGUAGCUAUGUGCGGAAGGGAUAAGUGCUGAAAGCAUCUAAGCAUGAAGCCCCCCUCGAGAUGAAAUUUCCCAUUCCUUUAUGGAAGUAAGAACCCUUGAAGAUGACAAGGUUGAUAGGUCCGAGGUGGAAGCACGGUGACGUGUGGAGCUGACGGAUACUAAUCGUUCGAGGACUUAACCUAU
rnacentral:rRNA from 1 species